AGAGUGAACGCUGGCGGCAGGCCUAACACAUGCAAGUCGAACGGCAGCACAGAGGAGCUUGCUCCUUGGGUGGCGAGUGGCGGACGGGUGAGGAAUACAUCGGAAUCUGCCUUAUCGUGGGGGAUAACGUAGGGAAACUUACGCUAAUACCGCAUACGACCUACGGGUGAAAGCGGAGGACCUUCGGGCUUCGCGCGAUAAGAUGAGCCGAUGUCGGAUUAGCUAGUUGGCGGGGUAAAGGCCCACCAAGGCUACGAUCCGUAGCUGGUCUGAGAGGAUGGAUCAGCCACACUGGAACUGAGACACGGUCCAG
rnacentral:rRNA from 1 species